UGAUGCAGAUCAUGAUAUAGGCCUAAUACGACUAUGGGUUCUCGAUCGAGCCUAGGCGUUAAAAGCAAAAAUUUUCCCCAAAAUUUUGAACGCGCCCGCGAAUUAUGCCAUAUGCAAAACAUGUCUCGUACUAGAUUUCCCUUUGGAAAUUGGAAAAUAAUGAUAUAUUAUAUCAUGAUUUUCCAAAGGUAAAUUUCUUAUAUUAAUUUCUUCUGGCGCACCAUGCUAUAGGCCGAUAGCCUAUAACUGUUACCCAAACUUGUAGUUUAGUUGAUAUUACUAGUAUAUUAAUUCAUUUUUCACAUUAUGAUUUCGGGAUAUACUCAAGUCAUUAGCAAAGGAAUAUCGCUAUACAUGUAUAUACCGUAUAUAUUUUUUGCAAUAUCAGAAAUAAUUUGACAUACUGUAAUUACUUAAGGGUCUCGGUUCGUAGAAUAGCUGCAACCCUAGCAGUAGCAUUGCAAUUGCAAAACAAAAGCCACAGUCAGGGAAUGGAGAUUAAAAGUUUAUUGAGACCAGCAGAAUAAUAGCCCUUCUCGCUCUAACAAUAGGGGAUGUGUCACGCAAGAACGCCUAGCUAGCUACACGUACACACCGGUAUUUGCCUUUUCACAUCGUGACAUUACAAACCGCUCUCGAUAACCAGGUCCUUGUUUAAGCCAAAAUAGCUCUUCUCGACAUUGUUUUUGUUUUGGAUCACGUUUUGGCUACUGUUUGAGUGUUUCUCUCUUCAGAAGUUCUCUUACGCGUUAUUAUUGACAUUUUUAAUUACGAGUUAAGUUAAAACUAGGAGUUUCAUCUUCUUCAGUUGGUAGUGGUACGUGGUACGUAGUGCCGUACUCGUUCACUGUCCGUGGUUACUCGCUCCCGCCCGGGACCCGGGCGCGGCCGUCCCAGCUGCAGAGCCAGCCAAGCAGUUCGAGUGAAAGCGACGAGUACACCAUAAAGGGACAAUGAACUCGGAGUCUACACUUUGUUUCUACAAGUCAACGGGCAACUUGCUCAAUCGAAGAGGACUGGGGAAGUGUACAACAGGCCUGUCGUUUCCGUCCGGCGAAACAAAGAGAUCAUGGAGAACCCAGAAGUACAACAACUGAAUUGGGAAGGACAGUGAGAAGUCUCUGGAGGACAGGAGAUGUGUGUGCAUUGGAGUUUUGUCAGAUGUGUAUCAAUCAGAUUAUUUACGUCUGGGACCGACCUUUUACAUCACAAUCUGAAAGACGUGACCAGGGCUCGAAACUCUGCAUCAAUUUGUAACUUCCCCACAGCUUGGAUUACAGGCACAAGCCACAACGCCCAGGACAGGAGAGCUGU